GCAUUAAUGGGGUAGUGGUAACCUGGGUCGUUGCCAUCGAAAGAUGAUAGCAAAGUCUCGACCCGCCGGGGGUUCGAUUCCCCCUUAAUGCA